UACGUAGGUGGCAAGCGUUGUCCGGAUUUACUGGGCGUAAAGAGCGCGCAGGCGGUCGGAUAAGUCGAAUGUGAAAGCCCCCGGCUCAACUGGGGAGGGUCAUUCGAUACUGUUCGACUCGAAGGCAGGAGAGGGAAGUGGAAUUCCCGGUGUAGUGGUGAAAUGCGUAGAUAUCGGGAGGAACACCAGUGGCGAAGGCGGGUCUCUGGACAGUUCCUGACGCUGAGGCACGAAGGUCAGGGGAGCAAACGGG
rnacentral:rRNA from 1 species